CUAGGUGCAGUAUAUAGAUUAAGAAAUGUAAGAGUUUAUAGUCUUCGAAUCAGUGUACCUAGAAUUUCCUUGCUCCACCACUCAUGUUGGGAAAAUUAGGGCACUUUCUUCAACUAGGAGACCUUUGCCAGAGCAUGUGAAGACCUUCUUGGCAAACACCAGCCAUGCUCACUUCUCACCAUCCCCCAGUGCCACCUACUCUCUGCUCAACACUCUCCAUGCCCCUCCUAGAGCCAUUGAUCCCGUUCCACCAGAAGAUCACAUCUUAGAAAUGGCCCAGACAUCGUUGGACAUUUCUUCAUGCUUCAUGAGCUUCAAAAUCUUUUAAAAAUUUAAUGCGCUUAUGAAUCUCUAACAAGCUCCUAAAUAACUUGCAUGCUAUUGUUAAAAAACUCCAAAUAUUAAUAAGUAUUAGUAAAAUGUUGCUGUUAAUAGUAAAUCAGCUAAGCGUCAAAAUGCUACCUGGAAAAGCAAGCAGAAUAGACAUUCCGAUGUUAAAGGGCAUCAAGAGCAAGACUCUUAAAGAACCUAUGAAACCAUUUAAGUGUGAGAUAAAAAGGUUGGGAAUUUCAUACAUAUUUAG
rnacentral:lncRNA from 1 species